rnacentral:misc_RNA from 1 species
CUCAUCGAAAGGAAUGACUUCUAUUCUCACAUAUCAUGGUUGAAGCAUCUCAAAUACAUACUACCAUCAAUUCCAGCAACCUCCAAGAAGCCUUUUGCAUGCUUCUUUCACUCGAUUUCUUUUGAAAUAGAUUUGCACUAUCCAUCGUAUUGGAUUUCUCUCUCUUAUCUUUUCAUCUCCAUUUUUUCUUUCAUUUUUUUGUGUUCCAAUAUCUUUCUUUUGUAUUUUUUCUGAUUUUCUUUUUUUUGCCCCUUCAAAUGUUCUUGUGUUCCUCUUUCUUUUUCACUCUUCUUCUUCCCCAGUAAAUUUAUUGCAUCUUCCACUCAUUUUCUUUCAACAACUUUGUUUUCAUUUCUUUUCUCUAUUAACAUGCAGGAAUUUUUAAUCUCUCAUAACACAAGCUUAUUUAACAAAAAAAGACUCUGGCCCAUCCCCAAAAGACAGUACAACUAUUCCAGCG